rnacentral:lncRNA from 1 species
GUCACUUUUGGAAGUCUCCGAGGAGCUGAGCCUGUCUGGAGAAGCACCUGAAGAUGUCAAGAUGUCCAUGUGUCAAAAUGGCCUUACCACGAUAUUGUUCUUACAGCCAACUGGACGUGUUAAUGGGGGAAAGCAACGUGUAUAAUUUAUGACAAAAGUCAACGGGAAACAAACAAAGGGAACCGAGGCAUAAACAGGUAAUUCCAAUCAGGACUCAGUACACCGAGGGUGUAGCCUAAAACACAGCGGCAGCAAACUCAACCCAGUAGCACCAGCUUUCGCUUGUGUGUGAGUUCCUGUCCCUACAGCCAGGAGCCCAAUACAUGCCCCUUCUUGCUCAGUGUUUUAAUGAGACUGCUCAGCACACCAAGUGUGUACAUCUACAUAAUUUGGAAAGUGGCGCUGAGGAGAGAUAAGAGUAUAUAGCCCGUGACACGUGCAGGCCCUGGAGUGGAGCAGCUACUCUCCGUUCAGCAAGUAUUCUUGGCCACGAGACAUGGACCAGUGCUGGAGACUUACCAUGAGAGCACACAGAGUCCUCAUUCUGUGCCAGUUUCCAUUGCAGUCUGGAACGACAGAGAGCAAGCAGAUGAAUAUGUGUUUGACACACAUCUGAAGUCUUUUUUAGGAUUGUAGCUGACCUUGGGCAACCAAAACUUCAAGGAGUGGAAUAAUCGAGAAGGUGAUGGGACUUUCCUGUGUUCAAAAUAGAUUGUGAAGUCUUUGGAGGGUUUUGACUUAAGGAUGCCGCUGCCACAGCUUUAUUUGAAAAAGAAUCAUCCUGUGUUUGCCACUCUAGAGGCAGUGGGACCUGGGAGACUGGAGCCGACUAAACUCUUGUGCAGUAGCCAACUUUAUUCAGAGCAUCAGACAAUUUAUACUCUGACGGUUAAGAAGAGUCGCAUGAAUGAAGUGUACAGCCACCAGCUGCAUGUGGCAAGAACACGGUUUCUUCAUGGAGGAAUAUCAACAAAUAACAAUAGCCGACUGUAAUGAAUAAUCGAAAGUAAACUCACUCCUAUCGUCUACACCUGAGAGGAGCAUGAAGGCACAUCCCAUGAGCAAUUUCAUGCUUGUGAAGACACGGAGACCGCACACCUCUUGUCUUGGUUCCUUCCUUCCUUCCUUCCUUCCUUCCUUCCUUCCUUCCUUCCUUCCUUCCUUCCUUCCUCCCUCCCUCCCUCCCUCCCUCCCUCCCUCCCGGAACUCACUGUACCCAGCAAGUGAAAGCUUUCUCUCUUCUUAGCAGUGACCCUCCCUUUUCUCAGCCGUAGGUAACCCUGGCUCUGCUUUCCGUCUGUCUGUACUUGCCUGUUCUUGAUAAGGAAUUAAAGGAGAGUCGUACAGUA